AGAAAUAUCCAUCCAGAAACAUCAGAUAUAAUAGUAAAACACUGACAGGCACCAUUUUACUGCAGAAUGAGUACUUUUACUUUGAUACUUUAAGUACAUUUUGCUGAUAAUGCCUUCAUACUUUAACCUACUUGAACCUUUUUCCAAAGCACCCAUCUUCAUCUUUAAUUUUUUAAUGUAAAAGAUAUGUACAACUAAGUAUGAAUUUGCAAGCGGUGAGCAGACCUCGACACAUGCGAGGUUCCACAUGCAGUGCAGCUUGAUGUUUACACCUGCAAAACAAGAACAAACACAGGAGUUGUCUGUCUCAGACAAGAGGAAGGUCUGUGCAGCAUGGGAAAGAUUGUAGACGAUUGUAGAUGUUAAUCGUGUCUAAGGUGUUGUUUUAGUUUUCAUUUCUGCUUUUCCUGCUGGUGGCCUGGUUGUGGUGGAUGGAUUGCUUUGACCAAGUCAAAAAAAUUGCUCAGAAACUGUCACCUGUCUUCAGUGGCAGCUGGCCAAUAGAGUGCGCUAGGGUGCCGCCCUUCCUGAGCCCUUGAGCCACAGUAAACCCCAUUACUACUAAUAAUAAUAAAUUAAACAAAUUGUCAUUUGUGUGUUUUGAAAUAUGGAGUGUAUCCAGUAAUAUGUGUAAAAUAUGAUAGAAAAUCAUCUGCGCAACAUAAAUGCUUUUCCCAUACGUCCCCUCCACCUGUCUGGAGUCUCAGCAGCUCUGCAGCGAUAGAGGAAUCACCCACAGGAGGCAGGUCUGAGUAGCAGUUUAGCCAAAGAUAUAUACAGUAUGUAUGACAAAAAUUUGACAAUCAGUGUCCUCAAAUCUUAUCUGAAAAGGGUGAUUAUUUUGAAUUUUUUUGCCCAGAUCAACCUGACCUCGCAAUCAGACAGCAGGCUAGCGAGAAAGGGAAGCAGUGUAUGCGAGCCUUCUCUCGUAGCUGGUGCACCAGAAAGGCCUGGCUAGCUGGAUGCAGUCAUGCUAAUGCCUUAUUUUGCUUUCCGUUCUUGCUUUUUUUUACGUGGUCAGAUCCAACACGGACAGUUACGGGAGUGAGGGAUAUGAAGCACCUGUCUGAGAAAGUAAGGAAACAUGAGAACACCAGGGCACACAUGGAUAGUUCUGUCCAGCUAACGUUAGCCACAUUACGGCAGCCACAGGAUUGCAGUGAGGAAACACAGUGAGGAGGUGGAUAAAACAGGCACAUUUUAUCCAAAAUAAUCUAAUGUGUGAAGUUUUGUGGGGCCUUUGACUCGGCAUGACGAGACAGACUCCUCGGACAACCCUGGCAUUUUCAGCGGAUUGGUGGAUUUUGUUGCCUCCCUAGACCGUGUGCUGGAGGGUCACCUAAGACCGCUAACUUACCAUUUUUAAAGGCGUCAAAGAAAAGGUACAAAACGAGCUGCUGGGCUGCAUGCUGUCAGUGCUAAAGGAUUACAUUUUGGAGGAAGCUGAUUUUAUCGCCAUUCAAGCAGAGGAGACCACUGACAUUUCCACCCACUGCCAGCUGGUGCUUGUGCUUAGCUACAUCAACACCAACAUUAACAUCCAACAGCCAGUUUUUCGAGUUCAUUACAAACUGCCGACACCAUCGCUACAGCGCUUCAAAUGGACAAUGAAUAACCAGAGUCCCUCCGAGGUGCCAGGGUGCUGGUGAUGGGUGCCAGUACAGACAGCGGGGAACAGUUGGCAUACCAUCACGCCAGGCUGGGUGCCCAGAUAGUAAUAACGACGAGGAGGGAGUGCAUGCGUUACACGAGGAGGACAAAGGCUGUAAGUGAUGGACUCACCGUGUGUCGACGGGAACAACAGGUGAUGUCGACAUAAUGUUAUGCAGCGUGUGCUGGAUGAGUAGCCAAGGCUGCGUCUCUUUCACUGUUGGGUUUUUCUAUUGAA